GGCUGCAAUGACGUCAUGCAGUUAACCUGCAUUGGGGCGGGUCCUUAAGGAAUUGUUAACAUUCGGAGCUGUGGCUGUCACCUCCAAGGAGACCCCGGUGCCCUUCUCAGCAGGAUCUGUGCAGGGAUGUGUUGCGGGACAAUCAGAGGAACCUGGCCUGCCUUGGUUGGGACAGUAGGUCUGAAAUCAAACAGACAAUCCCAAAGCUGGACAUUUCUUUGGAGGAAUUAAG